GGCACCUCAGAUAGGUCAACCGUCAAACUACUGUUCUAAGGGCUUACCUUUUUUUGUUACAUUAACAGUAACUGGUAAAACUAAUCCAAGCGUUAACUAACAGAG